UACGUAGGGCGCAAGCGUUGUCCGGAAUUAUUGGGCGAAAGAGCUCGUAGGCGGUUUGUCGCGUCUGCUGUGAAAACUGGAGGCUCAACCUCCAGCCUGCAGUGGGUACGGGCAGACUAGAGUGCGGUAGGGGAGAUUGGAAUUCCUGGUGUAGCGGUGGAAUGCGCAGAUAUCAGGAGGAACACCGAUGGCGAAGGCAGAUCUCUGGGCCGUAACUGACGCUGAGGAGCGAAAGCGUGGGGAGCGAACAGG
rnacentral:rRNA from 1 species